ACAGCCUUAAAUCCCCCUACCGACGCCCAUCGACAGUGCAGUGCAUGCAGGCGAAUCGCGGGGAAAGCCGCCGCCAAUUAUCAAACGGAAAAAAUUAACGCAUAGCAUUCCAAUUUCGUUGUCUGUUUUUUUUUUCUUCUUUUUCUCCCUCUCGCUCGCUCGCUCUCUCUUUCUGUCUCUCCGCUCAUUUGGUGUGCCUUUUUUGUACACUGCUGCUGCGGCCGUGUGCCGACCGACCGACCGUGCUGCUACCCGCUCCCGCACCGCUCCUCGCUGUUGCGACGCGCUCUUUUGUUGGCCCGCAGACGGCCGGACGGGACAAACUGACAGCCAAGACGAAUCGUAUAUUUUUUUGUUUUUGCUUUUUCGGUUUUCAAUUGAAAGCGAUGAAAUUCUCAUGCGUGUGUGUAUUUAAUCAAUUAUUUUAGCAUUCGAGUGCAAGCAUUGCUGAAGGGAAAAUACAGCAGCAGCACCAACAACAACAAUGAAACAUGUUUUUAUGCAGCAGCAGAAAUAACAACAACAACCAAAGCAGCAGCUGCAACAAUCAACAAAAACAACAAGCGCCAUUUGCUGUUUGUGGAAUAAAGCAAUAAUAACAUAGAAAACAAGCGUCAGUGUAAAAUUAAUAACAAAAGCAGCGGCAUCGGUAGAACAGCAGCAGCAGCAUUCAGUCCAAAUCCUUUUAGAGCCCUCUCUCUCUCUCUAUGGACCACCAACAGCUGUCUGAUUUUCAAAUGAUUAUUAUGCAGAGAGGGUAAAAGAAAAAACAACAGAGCAGCCACCGGCACAGUGGAACAGACAGCAAGGAUUAUAAACAGCUGCUGCACAGUGGAACACCGGGGAUUACAAUGGAAAAAAUCGGCAAUGAAAAUGAAAAUCCUACAAAAACGGCCUCCACAUUUUAACAACAAUUAAAUCCCCCGCACCGAAAAGUCGUGUGAUUAGACUGUUUGUUUGUUUUUAGACUUUAACAUUUUUUUUUUAAAUAUUGUGUGUUGGAUUUAUCGUGAUUUUUUCAAAUGGAAUACCAAUAAUAAUUGUGAAAUGUUUGCAUUGGAUGAUACCCCGCAAAAUGUGCAACCGCAACAGAGCCGUCGCGACCACAAAUCUUAAAGAAAAUUCCUUUAAGAUCAAUAACAAUACAAAUUGCAGUAAUCUAACAAAAACUACCAUAACCUAAGAAAACAAAGAAAAGCAAAGCAAAACAAAAGGCAAGGAAAAGCACAACGCAAAAGAGUAAAAAAGGUUGAGAAAACGCAGCAAAAAGUGGAAUAACAAAAAUUAAGCUUCAAACGAGACGUGUCGCGUGUAACGGGACGCAAGAUCCGAGAUCCCUUGAGCUUUUUGUAGAGGCGCCUGCAUUUGCGUGUGUUCGUGCUUGUUUGCGUGUGCGUGAGUGCGUGUGCGAGAGUGCGUUUCUCGUGUGUGUGUGUGUGUGUGUGUUUUUGUUUUCAUUAGAGCACACACACACGCUCGUGGGCCUGCCUCAUAGAGGUGUGUGCGUGUGCGUGUGCCGCCGUAUGCUCGAUUUGCAUGUGGGUAUGUGUGUGGGUGAGUGCAUUGCGUGUAAUUGCUGUGCUAACGGUAAAUAAAUGAAAAGCACCGCUAAAUGUGCUGCUGCGAGAAACAUCAACAACAAUAACAGCUGUAAACAUAGUGUCAUCUCACUCGGAAACACACAACAACAACAACAACAAAAACGAAACAUAUGCAACCGAAGGAAUGGAAUGAAAUAACAAGGAGGAAUAAAACAGUGAUAUAACAACAACAAAAA